GCCGACAGUCUCUUAACACACUAACCCCACAUGCUAACACACUCGUGCAGCUAUUGUCAUGGUGCUGUGGGUCUUUUUGCUCUGUCUGCAGGGAUGUCUGCUCACACAUGCUCUGGACUGCACGGGCAGGAGUGUGGACUGUGUCAACACACAGAUUACAGAGGUCAAGGUUAAAGAUGAGCCCUUAUCUUCUCUGGUGAGUCUCUGUCACAUUUGAUCAAUUUAAAUUGCUGAAUUAAAGUAUGAAUUAUUUUAAAAACAGUACAAAAAAAAAUCUGAGCCAAAAAGUAGGCAGAUUAUGUAUGGGUUUGAUCUGCAAAUCUGCCAACAUCUAUUUCUCUUUUUUCAGAUGAGGGCUCGAAGACAAGCUCAACUCACUCAGCGGCCUGGAUCUUAUUCAGUCAAAGGAUCUCCUAACACACUCAUCCAGCCUGACAGGUCGAGGCGACAUUUGAUUGCUAGUAAAAAAAAGCCCCACAGAUCUCGCAUCGGCUCUUACUCACUUCUUUCCCAUAACCACGCAACCAACCCACUGCAGGUGUGUAUCCACAAUCAAAAUAUCAUCAACACAAAUAAUCAAAGUGAUAGUCU
rnacentral:lncRNA from 1 species